rnacentral:lncRNA from 1 species
UCUUACAAUCCCCACUAACCUCUCCAAAUCCCUUUUGAAGCCAAAGCUAAACUCCAAACUCACCCCCAAAGUUUCACGAUCAUUGGUGGUAUGCUCCACCGACAAGACUUCAUCGCCACCAUCAUCAGCUUCAUCACUCCAAGCCUUCUCAGCAGCUCUUGCUCUUUCUUCCAUUCUUCUCUCAGCCCCACAGCCUGCCGUAGCUGAUAUUGCAGGCCUCACACCAUGCAAAGAGUCCAAGCAAUUCGCCAAACGUGAGAAGCAGCAGAUCAAGAAGCUGGAAUCGUCGUUGAAGCUAUACGCCCCUGACAGCGCUCCAGCUCUCGCUAUCAAAGCAACCAUCGAGAAAACCAAGAGACGGUUUGACAACUACGGGAAGUACGGGCUGCUGUGUGGGUCUGAUGGGUUGCCUCAUUUGAUAGUAAGCGGUGAUCAGAGGCACUGGGGUGAGUUCAUCACGCCUGGUCUCUUGUUCUUGUACAUCGCUGGAUGGAUCGGGUGGGUUGGAAGGAGCUACCUCAUUGCUAUUAGCGAUGAUAAGAAGCCUGCCAUGAAGGAGAUCAUCAUUGAUGUGCCUUUGGCUAC